CAUUUUUAAUGGGGUGCAUUGUUUAUUGAUCUGCUUGGCUGUUUAUAGCCUUUCUUGUCCCACCUCUCCAGACUUAGCCUGACUCUGGGGAGACGGAGGAGUGGGGAUGUUUUCCCUGUACCCCAGGACACUCCCCAUGCCUGUGGAGCUUCAUCAGGUCAACAUCAUUCCAUUUCAAGGGAUAGAAACAUUAACAACAGCAGGUGAAGUUCUUUACCUGUAACAGCUUAGGACAGACUAUUAGAAACAGCAGACUCAACCUCCUGGAGCAGGCUGCCUAGCGGCAAUGUGAUGGCAGACCGGAGAUGAAGGUAUCUGGCUCUCAAACCCAAGCUUUUCCCAACAACAUGCACUGUAUUCAAUUCAGCUGUAU